rnacentral:misc_RNA from 1 species
GAUGAAGAACGUAGCGAAAUGCGAUACGUAAUGUGAAUUGCAGAAUUCAGUGAAUCAUCGAGUCUUUGAACGCACAUUGCGCCCCCUGGUAUUCCGGGGGGCAUGCCUGUCCGAGCGUCAUUGCUGCCCUCAAGCCCGGCUUGUGUGUUGGGCCUCCGUCCUCCUCCCGGGGGACGGGCCCGAAAGGCAGCGGCGGCACCGCGUCCGGUCCUCGAGCGUAUGGGGCUUCGUCACCCGCUCUUGUAGGCCCGGCCGGCGCUUGCCGACACAUCAAUCUUUUUUCCAGGUUGACCUCGGAUCAGGUAGGGAUACCCGCUGAACUUAAGCAUAUCAAUAAGCGGAGGA